rnacentral:rRNA from 1 species
CUUCGGGGAUAGUGGCGCACGGGUGCGUAACGCGUGGGAAUCUGCCCUUGGGUUCGGAAUAACUUCUGGAAACGGAAGCUAAUACCGGAUGAUGACGUAAGUCCAAAGAUUUAUCGCCCAAGGAUGAGCCCGCGUAGGAUUAGCUAGUUGGUGAGGUAAAGGCUCACCAAGGCGACGAUCCUUAGCUGGUCUGAGAGGAUGAUCAGCCACACUGGGACUGAGACACGGCCCAGACUCCUACGGGAGGCAGCAGUAGGGAAUAUUGGACAAUGGGGGAAACCCUGAUCCAGCAAUGCCGCGUGAGUGAUGAAGGCCUUAGGGUUGUAAAGCUCUUUUACCCGGGAUGAUAAUGACAGUACCGGGAGAAUAAGCUCCGGCUAACUCCGUGCCAGCAGCCGCGGUAAUACGGAGGGAGCUAGCGUUGUUCGGAAUUACUGGGCGUAAAGCGCACGUAGGCGGCUAUUCAAGUCAGAGGUGAAAGCCCGGGGCUCAACCCCGGAACUGCCUUUGAAACUAGAUAGCUUGAAUCCAGGAGAGGUGAGUGGAAUUCCGAGUGUAGAGGUGAAAUUCGUAGAUAUUCGGAAGAACACCAGUGGCGAAGGCGGCUCACUGGACUGGU